rnacentral:rRNA from 1 species
UACGUAGGGUGCAAGCGUUGUCCGGAAUUAUUGGGCGUAAAGAGCUCGUAGGCGGUUUGUCGCGUCUGCUGUGAAAACGCGAGGCUCAACCUCGCGCCUGCAGUGGGUACGGGGCAGACUAGAGUGUGGUAGGGGGAGACUGGAAUUCCUGGUGUAGCGGUGGAAUGCGCAGAUAUCAGGAGGAACACCGAUGGCGAAGGCAGGUCUCUGGGCCAUUACUGACACUGAGAAGCGAAAGCAUGGGGAGCGAACGGG